UUUUCAUUAGCUAUCGGCAGCUAAUAAGCUUGAAAGGCUAAGAAGUCAAGUCACGCCCUGCUCGCUAUAUGGGAUCUUUUGAUUUUUUUCGAGCGUCAGGAUUAUUCGAGCACAGACUGUAAGAAGCCACAAGCCAUAAUAUCAGCUGCUGGUGAAGGAUCCACAUGCAGUUGAGUCUAUGGUUCCAUCAUAAUGAUCUCCUUCGGUCUGAUAGAUGAUGACAAUGAUUGAGGAGGGCGGUUUGGUUGAUAUUAUGCUGAAGCAUACAGAGAUGAUGGAUGAUAUUAUAUG
rnacentral:sRNA from 1 species